rnacentral:rRNA from 1 species
UGGGGAAUUUUGGACAAUGGGGGCAACCCUGAUCCAGCAAUGCCGCGUGUGUGAAGAAGGCCUUCGGGUUGUAAAGCACUUUUGUCCGGAAAGAAAACGCCGUGGUUAAUACCCGUGGCGGAUGACGGUACCGGAAGAAUAAGCACCGGCUAACUACGUGCCAGCAGCCGCGGUAAUACGUAGGGUGCAAGCGUUAAUCGGAAUUACUGGGCGUAAAGCGUGCGCAGGCGGUCCGCUAAGACAGAUGUGAAAUCCCCGGGCUUAACCUGGGAACUGCAUUUGUGACUGGCGGGCUAGAGUAUGGCAGAGGGGGGUAGAAUUCCACGUGUAGCAGUGAAAUGCGUAGAGAUGUGGAGGAAUACCGAUGGCGAAGGCAGCCCCCUGGGCCAAUACUGACGCUCAUGCACGAAAAGCGUGGGGAGCAAACAGGAUUAGAUACCCUGGUAGUCCACGCCCUAAACGAUGUCAACUAGUUGUCGGGUCUUCAUUGACUUGGUAACGUAGCUAACGCGUGAAGUUGACCGCCUGGGGAGUACGGUCGCAAGAUUAAAAACUUAAA